rnacentral:pre_miRNA from 7 species
CUCUUGUGAGACUGUGCCAGGGCCUAGGAAACACAGAAGUGGAUGUGAAAGACCCCCGAAGGGAGACCCUCACUCAAGCCUCAGGACAGCCGCGGACCCAAGAAGACACUGAGACCA